CAUAUCCAGUGUUCUGAGAAACAGAGAGUUGGGCAAAGUUCCUAUCCUGUGGAUCUUACACUUAAACAAUCCCCAGCACACGGCCAAGGCUGGCAGAAAGACAGCUGAUCCGCAGUGGGAGCCCAGAGAGUGCAGCGAGUUUGAAGGGAACAUAACUAGAAAGACAUUCCAAAAAGGACUGCAUGGUAUUUGGAGGUCUGGGUACCAGCUGUAAUGUGCACAUACUUGCAGAGACGUCUGUUCUGCUAAGGCUGUGGACUCAGCUGCAAUCUCUGGUUUGGAAGACCUCGUUCCCCUGCAUCAGCACACAGGAGGCCCUGACUUCCAUGAGGAUCCCCCGUGUACACCCAGCACAUCACGUACACUGCUGUGUCUUUCAAGGCUCCAGAAGUGAAGUAGCUGUUUUUUGGGGUUCCAACUGCAACCCUGGGAAUUGUAGUGAGUUGUUCAUGGGCCCAGGGUGUCACUGCCAUCAGGGAAAGCUCAUCAGUGCUGCUGUUGGGGGGAGACAGGAGACUUUGAAGGAGAGGAAUCUGCAGAAGAAUAGAAGUGAUCCAGUAAAGUGUUGA
rnacentral:lncRNA from 1 species